UACGAGGGGGGCAAGCGUUGUUCGGAAUUAUUGGGCGUAAAGGGCUCGUAGGCGGCCAACUAAGUCAGACGUGAAAUCCCUCGGCUUAACCGGGGAACUGCGUCUGAUACUGGAUGGCUUGAGGUUGGGAGAGGGAUGCGGAAUUCCAGGUGUAGCGGUGAAAUGCGUAGAUAUCAGGAGGAACACCAGUGGCGAAGGCGGCUUCUGGACGGUAACUGACGCUGAGACGCGAAAGCGUGGGGAGCAAACAGG
rnacentral:rRNA from 1 species